GUGUUGUAACGUCCUGUGGGAUUAACUGGAAGGUUAAAGGGAUCCAGAACCCUGUGGUACUGAACAAAACCACCAUGACAGUCACACUCAGACCUGAACCAUGCUAACCCCAUAAAGGGCAGUAUAAGAACCCGUUGGUUCUAUCUGUAUAAAGGGCGUUAUAAGAACCCGUUAGUUCUAUCUGUAUAAAGGUUAUAAGAACCCGUUGGUUCUAUCUGUAUAAAGGGCGUUAUAAGAACCCGUUGGUUCUAUCUGUAUAAAGGGCGUUAUAAGAACCCGUUGGUUCUAUCUGUGUAAAGGUUAUAAGAACCCGUUGGUUCUAUCAGUAUAAAGGUUAUAAGAACCCG